rnacentral:rRNA from 1 species
GAUGAACGCUGGCGGCGUGCUUAAUACAUGCAAGUCGAGCGAACGGACGAGAAGCUUGCUUCUCUGAUGUUAGCGGCGAACGGGUGAGUAAUACGUGGGUAACCUACCUAUAAGACUGGGAUAAGUUCGGGAAACCGGAGCUAAUACCGGAUAAUAUAUUGAACCGCAUGGUUCAAAAUGGAAAGGCGGUUAUGCGGUCUGUUAGAGAUGGAUGCGCACUGCAUUAGCUAGUUGGUAAGGGAACGGCUUACCAAGGCAACGAUGCAUAGCCGACCUGAGAGGCUGAUCGGCCACACUGGAGCUGGGACACGGUCCCGACGCCUACGGGAGGCCGCAGUCUGGUAUCUUCCGCAGUGGGCGAGAGCCUUACGGAGCGGCGCCGCGUGAGUGAUGAAGGUCUUCGGAUCGUAAUACUCUGUUAUUAGUGGAGAACAUAUGUGUAAGUGGCUGUGCACAUCGUGACGGUACCUAAUCAGAAAGCCACGGCUAACUACGUG